rnacentral:rRNA from 1 species
AUUGAACGCUGGCGGCAGGCCUAACACAUUCAAGUCGAACGGUAACAGGAAGACGCUUGCUUCUUUGCUGACGAUUGGCGGACGGUUGAGUAAUGUCUGGGAAACUGCCUGAUGGAGGGGGAUAACUACUGGAAACGGUAGCUAAUACCGCAUAACGUCGCAAGACCAAAGAGGGGGACCUUCGGGCCUCUUGCCAUCGCAUGUGCCCAGAUGGGAUUAGCUAGUAGGUGGGGUAACGGCUCACCUGUGCGACGGUCCCUAGCUGGUCUGAGAGGUUGACCAGCCACACUAGAAAUGAGACACGGUCCAGACUCCUAAGGGAGGCAGCAGUGGGGAAUAUUGCAAAAUGGGCGGAAGCCUGAUGCAGCCAUGCCGCGUGUAUGAAGAAGGCCUUCGGGUUGUAAAGUACUUUCAGCGGGGAGGAAGGGAGUAAAGUUAAUACCUUUACUCAUUGACGUUACCCGCAGAAGAAGAACCGGCUAAAUCCGUG